rnacentral:rRNA from 1 species
UACGAAGGGGGCAAGCGUUGUCCGGAUUUAUUGGGCGUAAAGAGCGUGUAGGCGGCCAGGUAGGUCAGCUGUGAAAACUCGAGGCUCAACCUCGAGACGUCGGUUGAAACCACCUGGCUAGAGUCCGGAAGAGGAGAGUGGAAUUCCUGGUGUAGCGGUGAAAUGCGUAGAUAUCUGGAGGAAUACCGGUGGCGAAGGCGGCAUCCUGGACCGGCAUUGACGCUGAGGAGCGAAAGCCAGGGGAGCAAACGGG